rnacentral:rRNA from 1 species
GACGAACGCUGGCGGCGUGCUUAACACAUGCAAGUCGAACGGAAAGGCCCUGCUUUUGUGGGGUGCUCGAGUGGCGAACGGGUGAGUAACACGUGAGUAACCUGCCCUUGACUUUGGGAUAACUUCAGGAAACUGGGGCUAAUAUCGGAUAGGAGCUCCUGCAGCAUGGUGGGGGUUGGAAAGUUUCGGCGGUUGGGGAUGGACUCGCGGCUUAUCAGCUUGUUGGUGGGGUAGUGGUUUACCAAGGCUUUGACGGGUAGCCGGCCUGAGAGGGUGACCGGCCACAUUGGGACUGAGGUACGGCCCAGACUGCUACGGUAGGCAGCAGUGGGGAAUAUUGCACAAUGGGCGGAAGCCUGAUGCAGCGACGCCGCGUGCGGGAAGACGGCCUUCGGGUUGUAAACCGCUUUCGCCUGUGACGAAGCGGGAGUGACGGUAAUGGGUAAAGAAGCACCGGCUAACUACGUG